rnacentral:rRNA from 1 species
GAGUUUGAUCAUGGCUCAGGGUGGUAGGAACAUUGAGGCUGGGGCCGCCUGAGGCUUUGGCAUGAGGCUGGGGGGCUGAGGAGAGAUGUGAAACAGUUACACCGGGGUGAAGGUGUCAGAGAGGCCUCUCAGUUUCAGCUUGAGUCGGCAGGCAGGCCAUGGUGGUGGCUGGUGGGGAAGUCACCACUGCCCCAGGCCAGAGAGGAUUGCCUCUGAGCCAGGGAUGUCCAGGGCUGCCUCUGAGAGAGGUACAGGUGGGAGUGGACACGGGCAGGUCAACCACUGUCCCUGCCCCAUGACCCCGACACAGGUCAGAUGACCCAGAUGGUGGGGGCCGAGGGCAGGAGCAGUUGGAGGGGCCAGGCUAUCAGCUGAGU